rnacentral:rRNA from 2 species
UCAGAUUGAACGCUGGCGGCAGGCUUAUACACUUGCAAGUCGAACGAUGAAACUCUAGCUUGCUAGAGAAGAUUAGUGGCGGACGGGUGAGUAACAUUUAGGAAUCUGCCUAGUAGUGGGGGAUAGCUCGGGGAAACUCGAAUUAAUACCGCAUACGACCUACGGGUGAAAGGGGGCGCAAGCUCUUGCUAUUAGAUGAGCCUAAAUCAGAUUAGCUAGUUGGUGGGGUAAAGGCCCACCAAGGCGACGAUCUGUAACUGGUCUGAGAGGAUGAUCAGUCACACCGGAACUGAGACACGGUCCGGACUCCUACGGGAGGCAGCAGUGGGGAAUAUUGGACAAUGGGGGCAACCCUGAUCCAGCCAUGCCGCGUGUGUGAAGAAGGCCUUUUGGUUGUAAAGCACUUUAAGCAGGGAGGAGAGGCUAAUGGUUAAUACCCAUUAGAUUAGACGUUACCUGCAGAAUAAGCACCGGCUAACUCUGUGCCAGCAGCCGCGGUAAUACAGAGGGUGCGAGCGUUAAUCGGAAUUACUGGGCGUAAAGCGAGUGUAGGUGGCUCAUUAAGUCACAUGUGAAAUCCCCGGGCUUAACCUGGGAACUGCAUGUGAUACUGGUGGUGCUAGAAUAUGUGAGAGGGAAGUAGAAUUCCAGGUGUAGCGGUGAAAUGCGUAGAGAUCUGGAGGAAUACCGAUGGCGAAGGCAGCUUCCUGGCAUAAUAUUGACACUGAGAUUCGAAAGCGUGGGUAGCAAACAGGAUUAGAUACCCUGGUAGUCCACGCCGUAAACGAUGUCUACUAGCCGUUGGGGUCCUUGAGACUUUAGUGGCGCAGUUAACGCGAUAAGUAGACCGCCUGAGAUCCGACCUGG